rnacentral:misc_RNA from 1 species
AAGACUAUAGACCUGCGGAGUACCUGCGGAGGGAUCAUUAGUGAACGCCCUCACGGGCUUAUAACUAUUCCAAACCUCUGUGAACCGUGCCCUUCGGGGCUAUUUUACAAACAUGGUGUAAUGAACGUCAUAUAUCAUAACAAAACAAAACUUUUACAAUGGAUCUCU